rnacentral:rRNA from 1 species
ACGGGGAGCAGCAGGCGCGAAACCCUUACACUGCACGCGAGUGCGAUAAGGGGACUCCGAGUGCGAGGGCAUAUAGUCCUCGCUUUUCACCACCGUAAGGUGGUGGUGGAAUAAGUGCUGGGCAAGACCGGUGCCAGCCGCCGCGGUAAUACCGGCAGCACGAGUGAUGACCGCUAUUAUUGGGCCUAAAGCGUCCGUAGCUGGCCGCACAAGUCUAUCGGGAAAUCUGCGUGCUUAACGCGCAGGCGUCCGGUGGAAACUGUGUGGCUUGGGACCGGAAGAUCCAGAGGGUACGUCUGGGGUAGGAGUGAAAUCCUGUAAUCCUGGACGGACCGCCGGUGGCGAAAGCGCUCUGGAAGGACGGAUCCGACGGUGAGGGACGAAAGCUCGGGUCACGAACCGGAUUAGAUACCCGGGUAGUCCGAGCUGUAAACGAUGUCUGCUAGGUGUGACACUGGCUACGAGCCAGUGUUGUGCCGCAGGGAAGCCGUGAAGCAGACCGCCUGGGAAGUACGUCCGCAAGGAUGAAACUUAAAGGAAUUGGCGGGGGAGCAC